rnacentral:tRNA from 1 species
GGGGUUGUGACUCAGAGGUAGAGUGCUCGCCUAGCAUGGGGAGCCCCUGGGUUCAAUCCUCAGCACCACA